CCUACGGGGGGCAGCAGUGAGGAAUAUUGGUCACUGGGCGCUAGCCUGAACCAGCCAAGUAGCGUGAAGGAUGACUGCCCUACGGGUUGUAAACUUCUUUUAUAAAGGAAUAAAGUGAGGCACGUGUGCCUUUUUGUAUGUACUUUAUGAAUAAGGAUCGGCUAACUCCGUGCCAGCAGCCGCGGUAAUACGGAGGAUCCGAGCGUUAUCCGGAUUUAUUAGGUUUAAAGGGAGCGUAGAUGGGUUGUUAAGUCAGGUGUGAAAGUUUGCGGCUCAACCGUAAAAGUGCAAUUGAUACUGGCAGUCUUGAGUACAGUUGAGGGAUGCGGAAUUCGUGGUGUAGCGGUGAAAUGCUUAGAUAUCACGAAGAACUCCGAUUGCGAAGGCAGCUUACUAAACUGCCACUGACAUUGAUGCGCGAAAGUGUGGGUAGCAAACAGGAUUAGAUACCCUAGUAGUC
rnacentral:rRNA from 1 species